GAUGAACGCUGGCGGCGUGCUUAACACAUGCAAGUCGAGCGAAGCGGCUGAAUUGAUUCUUCGGAUGAUUUUCAGUUGACUGAGCGGCGGACGGGUGAGUAACGCGUGGGUGACCUGCCCCAUACCGGGGGAUAACAGCUGGAAACGGCUGCUAAUACCGCAUAAGCGCACAGAGCUGCAUGGCUCGGUGUGAAAAACUCCGGUGGUAUGGGAUGGGCCCGCGUCUGAUUAGGCAGUUGGCGGGGUAACGGCCCACCAAACCGACGAUCAGUAGCCGGCCUGAGAGGGCGACCGGCCACAUUGGGACUGAGACACGGCCCAAACUCCUACGGGAGGCAGCAGUGGGGAGUAUUGCACAAUGGGGGAAACCCUGAUGCAGCGACGCCGCGUGAGCGAAGAAGUAUUUCGGUAUGUAAAGCUCUAUCAGCAGGGAAGAUAA
rnacentral:rRNA from 1 species